rnacentral:sRNA from 1 species
UUAGAGUAUCAAUGUCCAAAUGGAUGAAAAUACACUCCAUGAAAUUCUAAAUGAAGUUGAUUUGAAUAAAAAUGGACAGGUUGAACUCAAUGAAUUUUUGCAGCUGAUGAGUGCUAUUCAAAAAGGAAGGGUAUCUGGAAGCCGACUUGCUAUACUAAUGAAAACUGCAGAAGAGAACCUCGACAGAAGAGUUCCAAUUCCAGUGGACCGUAGUUGUGGAGGAUUGUGAGUCUGGGCAGUAAAUCCACAGCCAACAAACAUAGAAACGACAAAUCACCAUGUAACAACCAGAGAUGACUGAAACCACUCUAAAAUAAUGAAUGUGGAUAGCUGCCUUUUUUAACACUAGAAAACAUUCCAAAACUUUAAGGUGUUGGUUUAUUUGCCAGCUUUAUUUGCUGUACUUUAUUUGUAUUUGCCAUUCAGUCUAGCUUUUAAGUAUAUUUUUUCUUUUUCUCAUUUUCAAUGCACAUUAGUUUUGCAUCUGUUUUGUGACCUGUUAGAUGUGACACAUUCUCUUUUUGUUUAUUCCCUUAUUCUAAAUGAGUUCUAAAAACAGAAUAUUUUGGCAAAAAUUGAAAAA